rnacentral:rRNA from 1 species
GACGAACGCUGGCGGCGUGCUUAACACAUGCAAGACGAACGGAAAGGCCCUGCUUGCAGGGUACUCGAGUGGCGAACGGGUGAGUAACACGUGGGUGAUCUGCCCUGCACUUCGGGAUAAGCCUGGGAAACUGGGUCUAAUACCGGAUAGGAGCCAUUUUUAGUGUGAUGGUUGGAAAGUUUUUUCGGUGUAGGAUGAGCUCGCGGCCUAUCAGCUUGUUGGUGGGGUAAUGGCCUACCAAGGCGGCGACGGGUAGCCGGCCUGAGAGGGUGGACGGCCACAUUGGGACUGAGAUACGGCCCAGACUCCUACGGGAGGCAGCAGUGGGGAAUAUUGCACAAUGGGCGCAAGCCUGAUGCAGCGACGCCGCGUGGGGGAUGACGGCCUUCGGGUUGUAAACUCCUUUCGCUAGGGACGAAGCUUUUUGUGACGGUACCUAGAUAAGAAGCACCGGCUAACUACGUG